rnacentral:rRNA from 1 species
GACGAACGCUGGCGGCGUGCUUAACACAUGCAAGUCGAACGGAAAGGCCCCCACCUUGGUGGGGGUGCUCGAGUGGCGAACGGGUGAGUAACACGUGGGUGAUCUGCCCUGUACUUCGGGAUAAGCUUGGGAAACUGGGUCUAAUACCGGAUAGGACCAUGGUUUAGUGUCUCAUGGUGGAAAAAUUAUUGUUUUGGUGCAGGAUGAGCUCGCGGCCUAUCAGCUUGUUGGUGGGGUAAUGGCCUACCAAGGCGUCGACGGGUAGCCGGCCUGAGAGGGUGGACGGCCACAUUGGGACUGAGAUACGGCCCAGACUCCUACGGGAGGCAGCAGUGGGGAAUAUUGCACAAUGGGCGCAAGCCUGAUGCAGCGACGCCGCGUGGGGGAUGACGGCCUUCGGGUUGUAAACUCCUUUCGUUAGGGACGAAGCCACACCUUUUUUGAGUGUGGGACGGU